rnacentral:rRNA from 1 species
ACGGAGGAUCCGAGCGUUAUCCGGAUUUAUUGGGUUUAAAGGGUGCGUAGGCGGCCUUUUAAGUCAGCGGUGAAAGUCUGUGGCUCAACCAUAGAAUUGCCGUUGAAACUGGGGGGCUUGAGUAUGUUUGAGGCAGGCGGAAUGCGUGGUGUAGCGGUGAAAUGCAUAGAUAUCACGCAGAACCCCGAUUGCGAAGGCAGCCUGCCAAGCCAUGACUGACGCUGAUGCACGAAAGCGUGGGGAUCAAACAG